rnacentral:rRNA from 1 species
GACGGAGAAGGGUAGGCCAACCACGGCGCUGGUAGACCGUGGGCCUUGCCGUAGGCCGGGGACCAGGAAAAUCCGGGCCCCAUUAAAGGCUGAGGGUUGGGCCGAGCCCGUUUAGGGCGAAGUGGUUGACCCCAUGCUUCCAGGAAAAGCUUCUAAGCGAGUUGCGUGCGCACCCGUACCAAAACCGACACAGGUGGGCGAGUGGAGAACACUAAGGCGAUCGAGUGAACUAUGGUUAAGGAACUCGGCAAAUUGUCCCCGUAACUUCGGGAGAAGGGGAGCUCUGGAGGGUGAAGGCCUUGCGCCGUAAGCCCCUCGGAGCCGCAGAGAAUAGGCCCAGGCGACUGUUUACCAAAAACACAGGUCUCUGCUAAGUCGAAAAGACGAUGUAUAGGGGCUGACGCCUGCCCAAUGCCAGAACGUUAAGGAAGCCGGUUAGCCUUCGGGCGAAGCUGGCGACUGAAGCGCUGGUCAAUGGCGGCCGUAACUAUAACGGUCCUAAGGUAGCGAAAUUCCUUGUCGGGUAAGUUCCGACCUGCACGAAAGGCGUAACGAUCUGGGCGCUGUCUCGACCAUAGACUCGGUGAAAUUGUAGUCUCGGUGAAGAUGCCGAGUACCCGCGGAAAGACGGAAAGACCCCGUGAACCUUUACUAUACCCUGGCAUUGGAUAUCGGCACGGCUUGUGCAGCAUAGGAGGGAGGCUAGGAAGCCGGGACGCUAGUCUCGGUGGAGCCGCCGUUGAGAUACCUCCCUUGCCGUGUUGGUGUUCUAACCCUACGCCGUGAUCCGGGUAGGAAACAGUGUCAGGCGGGUAGUUUGACUGGGGCGGUCACCUCCCAAAAUGUAACGGAGGUGCCCAAAGGUUCCCUCAGCACGGUCGGAAAUCGUGCGCAGAGUGUAAACGCACAAGGGAGCUUGACUGCGAGAGAGACAUCUCGAGCAGGGACGAAAGUCGGGGUUAGUGAUCCGGCGGUAACGAGUGGAAGUGCCGUCGCUCAACGGAUAAAAGGUACUCCGGGGAUAACAGGCUUAUAGCCGCCAAGCGUUCACAGCGACGCGGCUGUUUGGCACCUCGAUGUCGGCUCGUCGCAUCCUGGGGGUGGAGCUGCUCCCAAGGGUUGGGCUGUUCGCCCAUUAAAGCGGCACGCGAGCUGGGUUCAGAACGUCGUGAGACAGUUCGGUCCCUAUCUUCCGUGGGCGUUGGAGAUUUGAGAGGAGCGACUCCUAGUACGAGAGGACCGGAGUGGACGUACCCCUAGUGUACCGGUUGUCCUGCCAAGGGCACCGCCGGGUAGCUAUGUACGGAAGGGAUAACCGCUGAAAGCAUCUAAGCGGGAAGCUCGCCUCGAGAUAAGAUCUCCCAUCCCCAUGAGGGAGUAAGACUCCUGGUAGACCACCAGGUUGAUAGGCCACAGGUGUACGCACAGCGAUGUGUUCAGCCGAGUGGUACUAAUAGGUCGAGGGCUUAAUGGA